rnacentral:tRNA from 1 species
GGCUGACCGCAAUCAGCGCGCCGCGACCGAGGUCUGCUAAGCCUUCAUCGCGGGUUCGAUUCCCGCCGUCGCCU